CACAGAAGUUCGUCUUCAUCGCCAUCGUCCUCCCCACCUCACGAACUCAACCUUCCCAAACUCACUCCUUCACUCUCUCUUCUCUCGGUAACAUUCAUCAACACUCACAAUCUCACUCACACCAAACUUCACAUUUCUCUCAAUCCCACUCUCGUUCUCAACGAACCCCUCUCAAUCACUCUCAGCUCUCACAAUAUUUUCAAUCAACAAGCAUAAAGAGAAAGAAAAAGAGGUCCUUACAAAGUGUCACUGCGGUGGUGGUGAAGGAUGCGAAGAAGCUGGCCUCCAGCUUAGGGUUUUGACUCGGUGCCCUUCUUCCAAAAGAGUAACUCUGUAACCUCCUUUCUGAUGUGCUCAGUUUGGAUGGGCUUCUUUGGUGCUAGGUUCGAAAGUGUGAAAAUGGUGAGCUUGGUUUGAUGCAUCCUCGUUCAUGUUUGGUAGGU